CCUACGGGUGGCAGCAGUAGGGAAUCUUCCACAAUGGGCGAAAGCCUGAUGGAGCAACGCCGCGUGGGUGAAGAAGGUCUUCGGAUCGUAAAACUCUGUUGUUAGAGAAGAAAGUGCGUGAGAGUAACUGUUCACGUUUCGACGGUAUCUAACCAGAAAGCCACGGCUAACUACGUGCCAGCAGCCGCGGUAAUACGUAGGUGGCAAGUGUUAUCCGGAUUUAUUGGGCGUAAAGGGAACGCAGGCGGUCUUUUAAGUCUGAUGUGAAAGCCUUCGGCUUAACCGGAGAAGUGCAUUGGAAACUGGCAGACUUGAGUGCAGAUGAGGAGAGUGGAACUCCAGGUGUAGCGGUGAAAUGCGUAGAUAUAUGGAAGAACACCAGUGGCGAAGGCGGCUCUCUGGUCUGUAACUGACGCUGAGGUUCGAAAGCGUGGGUAGCAAACAGGAUUAGAUACCCUUGUAGUC
rnacentral:rRNA from 1 species